GAUGAACGCUAGCUACAGGCUUAACACAUGCAAGUCGAGGGGCAGCGGGAUUGAAGCUUGCUUCAAUUGCCGGCGACCGGCGCACGGGUGAGUAACGCGUAUCCAACCUUCCGUACACUCAGGGAUAGCCUUUCGAAAGGAAGAUUAAUACCUGAUGGUAUGAUGAGAUUGCAUGAUAUCAUCAUUAAAGAUUUAUCGGUGUACGAUGGGGAUGCGUUCCAUUAGGUAGUAGGCGGGGUAACGGCCCACCUAGCCAACGAUGGAUAGGGGUUCUGAGAGGAAGGUCCCCCACAUUGGAACUGAGACACGGUCCAAACUCCUACGGGAGGCAGCAGUGAGGAAUAUUGGUCAAUGGACGAGAGUCUGAACCAGCCAAGUAGCGUGAAGGAUGAAGGUCCUACGGAUUGUAAACUUCUUUUAUAAGGGAAUAAACCCUCCCACGUGUGGGAGCUUGUAUGUACCUUAUGAAUAAGCAUCGGCUAACUCCGUG
rnacentral:rRNA from 1 species